CCGCAGAGGGCGCCCAGGCAGCACACAGCUUCUCCUCUUCUCUUCUCUUCUAAUAACUCUCGCAAGACCCGCGGAGCGUUGCCAUGAUAACCGGGUCUCGCGAGAGUUAUUAGAAGAAAGAAGAGGAGAAGCAGUGUGCUGUCUGGGCCCCCUCUGCG